GGCACACAGCAACGGCCGGAGUGCUAAGGGCUGCACUCAGUCAUACUCUAUCACACUAUUGUAAUAGAGUGCAGCCGAGUGCAGCCCUUGGCACACCGCCAUUGCUGUGUGGCAUUAUCCCUGCACCCUGUUACCAGGGAAAGUUUACCACAGACCAUUAGGGGUCCUGCUCAGCCAUUGGUCAGCACGGCAGUGGGCCCCGCCCACAGCAACCAGCUAUCAAGGAGUGCCCCUUAGUGGGCUCAUUCAGCCAACUCCAGUCAGGCAGAGUGGUGGUUUUCAGGUGGAAAAUCAGGACUCCAGAACCCUUAUCAUGGCCACCCACUGGCCUUGCCCAGGCUGUGAGGCAGCAGUGAACCUCUCCCCCAAGCACAUCUCGGGGACCUGAUAGCAGUUACUGACCAUCUGCCUGGACUGCAGUCUGUGCGACCCUCUCUUCCCUCCCAUUUAGAGAGUAACAUUCCUUUGGUGGAGAUUUACAGAAACAUCGUUACCUGGCCAUGACCUGACCUCAAAAACAAAGGAUCUGACCCAAGAAGUUUGCAGUGACUAACUACACCUCUGCUUCACCUUUCCUAGAAAAGGGCUUUGCCGAAAGGUUUCAGGGAAUUUGGGGUUUUAAAGGCUUGAGCCUCCCAUCCGCUUGCAUGGCCCUGUAAUAAAAUUUCUCU
ensembl:lncRNA